rnacentral:rRNA from 1 species
GCAUAUCAAUAAGCGGAGGAAAAGAAACCAACAGGGAUUACCUCAGUAACGGCGAGUGAAGCGGUAACAGCUCAAAUUUGAAAUCUGGCCCUUUCAGGGUCCGAGUUGUAAUUUGUAGAAGAUGCUUCGGGUGUGGCUCCGGUCUAAGUUCCUUGGAACAGGACGUCAUAGAGGGUGAGAAUCCCGUAUGUGACUGGCUGCCUUCGCCCAUGUGAAGCUCUUUCGACGAGUCGAGUUGUUUGGGAAUGCAGCUCUAAAUGGGUGGUAUAUUUCAUCUAAAGCUAAAUAUUGGCCAGAGACCGAUAGCGCACAAGUAGAGUGAUCGAAAGAUGAAAAGCACUUUGGAAAGAGAGUUAAACAGUACGUGAAAUUGUUGAAAGGGAAGCGCUUGCAACCAGACUUGCACGCCGUCGAUCAUCCUGGGUUCUCCCUGGUGCACUCGGCGGCGUUCAGGCCAGCAUCGGUUUCGGUGGUUGGAUAAAGGCCUUGGGAAUGUGGCUCCUCUCGGGGAGUGUUAUAGCCCUCGGUGCAAUGCAGCCUACCGGGACCGAGGACCGCGCUUCGGCUAGGAUGCUGGCGUAAUGGUUGUAAGCGACCCGUCUUGAAACACGGACCAAGGAGUCUAACAUCUAUGCGAGUGUUUGGGUGUCAAACCCAUACGCGUAAUUAACGUGAACGGAGGUGAGAACCCUUUAGGGUGCAUCAUCGACCGAUCCUGAUGUCUUCGGAUGGAUUUGAGUAAGAGCAUAGCUGUUGGGACCCGAAAGAUGGUGAACUAUGCCUAAAUAGGGUGAAGCCAGAGGAAACUCUGGUGGAGGCUCGCAGCGGUUCUGACGUGCAAAUCGAUCGUCAAAUUUGGGUAUAGGGGCGAAAGACUAAUCGAACCAUCUAGUAGCUGGGUUCCUGCCGA